rnacentral:pre_miRNA from 1 species
GAAAAUUUGAAAACUACCGUUGGAUCGAGAAAUGGACGUCCGAGAUUCGUCCACGUCACCAUGAGUUAAAUGGUGACGUGGACGAAUCUCGGACGUUCAUUUCUCGAUCCAACGGUAGUUUUCAAGUUUCC